UUACAAUCUAGGGGCAGUCAGUUGCCCCUAACCAAGUAAUCAGAUAUUGCAUAUUUUAAAAAUUCUUGCAGCACACCAGUUGAAAAGCAUUGGCUUAGGCUGCAAGGAGGCUUGGAGUUAUAUUUCAUUUUAAUUACAAUGCCUUUAUUAGUCUAGGUUUUUGAUAUAGAUAAUUUCUUCUUUUGUUAUCUGUGUCAGGAGUUCUUAAUCCAUUCUCCAUGUAUCAGCUUCAGGGAAUUUAUGAACCCCUUUGAAUGACAGGUAAAAAUGUGUGCACAUGGGAGUCUAGGGGAGUGUGCUUGUUUUUUAUCAAAUUUUUAGUGACCUCCAUCAUCCCCCCUCCCAACAAAGAAACCAUUGUUCUCUGGGUUUGCUGUUCAUUUUAUUUUUUUAUAGUCUAAUUGUAAAAAGUCUCUUAUUAUGAACUGCUGAUACCCUUUUUGGCAGUAGUUGGGCUACAUAUCAUUCCUUUAUAUUUAAAUCAUUAUCCUAGUUCUCGGCUUUGUCAGAAAGUUAAAAAUCAGCCUCUAUAAUUUUAAAAGCACACAGUCUUGGAAAAAAUAAAUAAAAGUUGAUGCCUUCAUGCAAACCAUGUAUUUAUUACUACCUUUAUAUUCUAUUAAAGGAGCUUCUUUCUCAUAAAUUUAUUGUCUUAAAUAGGCAAUACUAAAUUAUUUGUAAAGUGAUUAUUAACUUGUACUUCAGUUAAUAUAUUCAGACCAUGAAACCCAUAUAUGAAAACAGUAUUGCUACAUCUUUAGUCUCUUUUUUUUUUGGUAGGUAAACAAAAAAGAUUAUGUAGUCCAAAUCAUCUUUCUGGACUAUUUAUGUGUUAGAAGAUAUAGCUCUUCCAAAAUACAUGGACAAGGUUACUAGGAAUUAGUUGCCUUACCCAUGCAUUUGUAGGUAAAAGCUAUAACCAUUAGAGGAAAAUAAAGCCCAUGUUGCCAUCCUCAGUACUCAGAUUAAUUUCCACAACUGUCAUUUUAACAAUUUUUAUAGGUUUUCUAAUGCAAAUUAUAUUAACAGGCACUCUACAUAAAAGUGCUAUAAUCCAAGGGGGCACAUGUGUGAUGUUUUUUAUUGUAGUAGGCUUCUUGACCUAAUUGACUGUCUCUUUGCAACAAAAUAAAAUUACAAUUACUCAAGUUACAAAAGAGGAAUAAAGAUGCUUCCUUUUUUACUAAGUGGCAUCUUGGUUGUUUAAAUGUGUAAAUUAUAUAUACAUACAUAUUUUCCUGUUGAAGGGUUGAUGACUGACAAAAAAAAACCUACCACUAUAAUAAAAGUGGUUGUGUCUGUGAAUUAUCAUAUAACAACAUAAGUUAUGAUGUGAUUGUAAUAACUCAGUAGUUCUUCACUCUGUAGUUACAGAACCUUGUAACAGACAUCCGCUGACUAUGUGCCUCAGGAAAAUGAAUAACACAUUAUUAUCCAGCUUGCUACUCUGCGGGCUAUGAAUGUGAAAAAAGAGUUUGUAUGACUUAACCACAGUGAUUAAAAUUUGGUUUGCCAACAAAAACAGAUUUUCUUACACAAUAUGAUUUAUAGUCCCACAAGAGAAGGAAGCAAACCCGAUCUGCAGCACUGUCUUGUCCUUCAUUGUGGAGUAGGUUUUACUUUUUACAAAUAUGUGUUGGUUGAAUAGUCUGCAAAGAGGCUAGUAAGAUGACAAUAAUGGGUAGUAUUUUCUGCACUUUAUUUCUUAAUAAACAACAUUUAAGAAGCAUCGUUAAAUGCUUAGCCUGUGAAAGAUACUGAAAUAGGUUCUGUUGGAGCAUGCAGAGACGAUAUGCCUCACUCAUGGGUGAGAAGGUUGAAUAUACAAGAAAAAGAAAAGUAGGAGAAAACAGAUUUGGGGGAUAAGUUCUAGAAGUGAUAGAAGAAACUAUAAAGAAAAAACAACCACCAAUUUGACUAGAUAAAAUUGCAAGUUACAGUGCUUAAAAAAAAAAAGUGUGUGUUGGUGGAGAGGGAGAAAAAAUACUCCAAGAAGGGGCAAAUAAGAAACCAGAGAAAAGUAGCCGCAGUCAAGGGGACAGGAAGAGGACAGAGCAUGGAGACGCACGGAGACAGCCGUGACGGACUGCAGCAGGUUACGGGCACCAUCCAGGAGCAAGGUUCACGGAGGAAAUGCAGUCAGCAGACAGGCCGAUGGGAAAUGUUUAACCUUGCUGGAAUCUAGGAAGUGUGAUUUUAAACAAGAAGAGAUUAUCCACAUUGCUGCCGAAACCAUUAUUUUUAGAGAACUGUGAAGGUACACCUGAUUGAAAGCACAUUAGUUCUGUACUUCAGUAAUAAUAGAAAUGUUGUUUGUAACCUUUAAGCCAAUAAUUUAACAUGAGAAGCUGUAGUAUGUGGAAAAUAAAAACAAAGACUAUUAUGUGUAAUCGUAAAAAUGUGGAAGUAAACGAGAAAUAACUGAAUUAUGGUUAAUCCUUUCAUUGGAUGGUUAUAGAUCCCAUAAAUGGACAGACUAUAUAGUAUUAUGAAAGGAUGCGUUAAAAAGGAGUAGGUUGUGUCAUAUGUAAUAUAUUGUUGUAAGUUUAUAAAAUACAAAUAUAAAAAAAUUUGAAAGGAAAACAAAAAAUCUAUAAUCUGCAUGAGAGUAAUAAGGUCAUAGGUUAUCUUUUGGCCUCUCUGAAAUAGUGUUAUAUUAAUUUUAAAAUUUAAAUCUAGAUUUAUGUCUUAAAGAAGAUCCAGUUCUUGUUCUCAAGGAAUUGCAUUUAGUUGGGUAGAACUACAGUAAAAAGAAAUACACUGUUGACAUGAGAGAGACAUAAAUAAAUGAUCUGGAAAGAUUUUUGAAGUUAUGUUUUCUACAUACUAGCUUCCUGUCGAGUCCAAUGAACCUUAAAAGUUAAUGUCUCUUAAUAAAGUAGAUUUUUAAAGACAAUGAAAAAUGUGUAUGACCUAAAAAUGUCAAUGAUACUGUUCCUUUUAUUCACAUUUUGAUGGUAGAAUCAUUAAUUAGUUUACAUUCCAUACUAUUAUGCUACAGAGUAGUCAGCUAGUUAUUUAAAUAAAUUUAUGGAGAGCUAAUAAAAUAUUCCAGGCAUGUAUCUGGACGGGAGGGGGAUCAAUGAACAAGAGUAACUUGAUCUUCGCUCUAAGGGUGCUUGGCUUUAGUUGAGGAGACUAAUCUUGGGAUGCGAUUAGACCUUGAAACCAUUCAUACUUUACUAAAUACUUGAGCUGAUGUUUACAUCAAGAAUGACUUGAAACUGAGGAAGGGAAGUAAUUUUGACUGAGGGGUUCUGGGAAGGCUUUAUAGAGAUUGUAGCAGGUUUCUGAGCCUCGAAUGAUUAUGAAGGGUAGUGAAACAAGCAGUAUUUUUUUAAAAAUGGGCUUUGAAGGCAGCAGGAGAUUAUAAAGGAAAUAAAAGGAAGAUGAAACAAGAUUCCAGACGUAGAGAACAGCAUGAGCAAAGUCAUGGAGAUGUUAAUCCGGGUCUUAGGGAGGCCCUGUGUUUCUGGAGGUGUGAGUGAGGAGGUGUUUGGUGGGAGUGCUGGUAGGUCAGCAGCCAUCGAUGAGGAGCUGGAAGCUGGCCCGUGCUAGUGUGUGCAAGUGACCGGAAAGCCUCUGUCCUUGAGGAACAUGUUGUGCUCUGUGGGAGCCAAUAUUAAACUAGAUUUCAGUAGUUUGGCUUACAUUUACAUUAAGGUUAAUUUAGCUUUAUUAAAAUUCCUGUUUGCAGAAUUCUGAUUCAAGAAACUGUGUUGUUUUAAAGAACACCGUAAGAUGUUAUGGGCCUACAUGGGGCUUGGGGAUGGUGUUUGAUCAUGGCUGGGAAGGAGGUGGGAAGGAGUGACCAAGGAAGAAUUGCUAUAGGAAUCCUUAAAUGAGCUGAAUUUUGAAGGAUAAGUAAACAUUAAAAUUUGAAAUCCUCACCCAAGGAUAUGUUUACUGAUUUGAGAGAGAGAGAGAGAAGGAGGUGGGCGGGGAGGGAGAGAGAGAGAAACAUCUAUUGGUUUUUUCCUGUACAGCCCCCGAUGGAGGAUUGAACCCACAACCUAGGUAUGUGCCCUGACUGGGAAUUGAACCGGCUGCCUUUUGGUGUAUGGGACACUCCAACCCACUGAGCCACCUGGCAAGGGCAAGGAGAAGUAGAAAUUAGAAGAGAGAGUGGGAGUGAGGAGGAGAGCAACUUGGAUAGGCAGGAUGUUUUACAAAGACUGUUCUCAAGGUAAUUUACACAGUCUUCAAGGGAUUUAGGAACUGCGUUAGUUUCUUUAAGGCAGAUUUUCUUCUGCCUCUUAAGUCAUAUGUUUACUGAGCACAUGUUUAAAAGAAAUUUGGUAAUGAAAAGGAUAAACUCUUUCCUGCUGUUUCACAAGGUAUGAACUUCUGAACAUUUUGCUCAUUAUCACAUGUAGUGUGUUUGUCUUGAUUUUCAGCGGAUUUAGCGUCUUGAAACUAUUUUACUGUUGGAUAAAUUUCCCAGUAGCUAGGGAUGAAAUACU